CAAAAAGAAGCCUGGAGCCGAACAGAGUGCCAUCAUUGCUCUGAGCAGCUUUAUACUGUUGACAACAAGAAUCUGGGUUGCCACAACAAAUGGAUGCUGACAACACAACAGAGAUGAGAGAAGACAGAAACUGUUCAGAUCUUGACACACGCCUGAAAGGACAUGAUGAUUCGCCGAUGUGUCAAACUGCCGCAUUGUAGCGCCAACUACUGACUGGGCUUUCGCAGCAUCUCGGCAUCUUAUGGCGUUUCAGAAAGAGCAUAAAAACCAUGAAUAGGGUCAGUGUGGAGGAUGUAUGUUUUGGCUAGCAAUUGAACAGGAAGAUCAUUGAGAGGUCAUUGAGAAAUGGCCAUCGUAUUUGUUUGGUUUGCAUCAUCCAGGAUUUCUAUCUGGUUAUUUUUUUCUUCCAGAUUGUCCAGUCUGAAUCUUUCAAUGCAUAACAAUGGCGAGUGGGUGUUUAUUAGUUGAACAUGUCAUUUCAGUUCAUUAGAACGGUAAGAGAAACCAGAUGCACAUUCCUGCUAGGAUUAAUCACUCACCCAUGUCCUGCAAAAGACAGAUUCAUAUGGAUUCUUAUGGAAAGACGGAACGUCCCAGGAAAACCAACUCAUCUUUACUCUCCAGUUUUUCCCCUCAAACUAUCAGGCUGUCCAUGUCAUGGAUAUCACCAGGGGGCCUCAUGGCUAUUAUUGGCAAAAGUAAAGUUGAUUUUACUUGAAUAACGUUCAAUUAUUUCAGUUUUUGUUCUUUGCGUAUUUGUUUGAGUUCCAUGUACAGAUGAUAACAUUUAAAUUUUUUUUAAAAAUGCCCUUUUCAGUGUUUAGACAGCAUUUUUUACAAAACCUGUACUUUGAGACCUGUUUUUAAAAGGUUGCGUUUUCUAGCUCCAUAACACCAUUUGUCACAUAAACAAGCAUUUAGAAUAACAUGGUGUUUAUACAUUUUUUGGAUGAGGUAAUUAAAUGUUAUGCCAUCACAAUGGUUUGCUACUUAUACAAG